rnacentral:lncRNA from 1 species
AGAAGGGUGCACAAAUGGUAUCUAAAGGGGUUAGAAAGGAUGUAGAAAGGGUGUAGAAAGACUCUUGAAAAGGUUUAGUAAGGGUGUAAGAAGAUGAAGAAAGAUGUAGAAAUCGUGUACAAAGUGUGUAUAAAGUGAGUACAAAGGGUUUACAAAUGUUGGAUAAAGGGCGUGUAAAGGGUGUACCAAUGGUGUAUAAAGGGUGUACAAAGGGUGUAGACCCGUUCUACCUCUUUUUAAAACAUAUGUAGAAAGGCUGAAGAAGGGUGCACAAAUGGUAUAUAAAGGAGUUAGAAAGGAUGUUGAAAAGGUGUAGAAAGACUGUUGAAAAAGUUUAGUAAGGGUGUAGGAAAAUGAAGAAAGAUGUAGAAAUCGUGUAAAACUGUGUAUAAAGUGAGUACAAAUGGUUUACAAAUGUGGUAUAAAGGGUGUAUAAAGGGUAUACAAAGGGUGUAUAAAGGGUGUACAAAUGGUGUAGACCCAUUCUACCUCUUUUUAAAAAAUAUGUAGAAAGGUUGCAGAAGGGUGCACAAAUGGUAUAUAACGGGGUUAGAAAGGAUGUAGAAAAGGUGUAGAAGGACUGUUGAAAAAUUUUAGUAAGGGUGUAAGAAGAUGAAGAAAGAUAGAGAAAUAAUGUACAAAGUGUGUAUCAAGUGAGUACAAAGGGUUUACAAAUAUUGUAUAAAGGGUGUAUAAAGUGUGUACAAAGGGGGUAUAAAGGGUGUAUAGAGAGUGUAGACCCAUUCUACCUCUUAUUAAAAAUUAUGUAGAAAGGCUACAGAAUGGUGCCCAACUGGUAUAUAAAGGGUUUAGAAAGGAUGUAGAAAGGGUGUAGAAAGACUCUUGAAAAGGUUUAGUAAGGGUGUAGGAAGAUGAAGAAAGAUGUAGAAAUCAUGUACAAAGUGUGUAUAAAGUGACUACAAAAGGAUUACAAAUGUUGUAUAAAAGGUGUAUAAAGGGUGUACAAAGGGUGUAGACCCAUUCUACCUCUUUUUGAAAAAUAUGUAGAAAGGCUGCAGAAGAGUGCACAAAUGGUAUAUAAAGGGGUUAGAAAGGAUGUAGAAAAGGUGUAGAAAGACUCUUCAAAUUGUUUAGUAAGGGUGUAAGAAGAUUAAGAAACAUGUAGAAAUCGUGUACAAAGUGUGUAUAAAGUGAGUACAAUGGGUUUAAAAAUGUUGUAUAAAAGUUGUAUAAAAGUUGUAUAAAGGGUGUAUAAAGGGUGUACAAAGGGUGUAUAAAGGGUGUAAAAAGGGUGUCCACCCGUUCUACCUCUUUUUAAAAAAUAUGUAGAAAGGCUGCAGAACGGUGCACAAAUGGUAUAUAAAGGGGUUAGAAAGUAUGUAGAAAGGGUGUAGAAAAUCUCUUGAAAAGGUUUAGUAAGGGUAUAAGAAGAUGAAGAAAGAUGUAGAAAUCGUGUACAAAGUGUGUAUAAAAUGAGUACAAAAGGUUUACAAAUGUUGUAUAAAGAGUGUGUAAAGGGUGUACCAAGGGUGUAUAAAGGGUGUACAAAGGGUGUAGACCCNGGUGUAGAAAGACUCUUGAAAAGGUUUAGUAAGGUGGUAAAAAGAUGAAGAAAGAUGUAGAAAUAGUGUACAAUGUGUGUAUAAAGUGAAUACAAAGGGUUUACAAAUGUUGUAUAAAGGGGUUAGAAAGGAUGAAGAAAAGGUGUAGAAAGACUGUUGAAAAGGUUUGGUAAGGGUGUAAGAAGAUGAAGAAAGAUGUAGAAAUCGUGUAGAAAGUGUGUAUAAAGUGAGUACAAAGGGUUUACCAAUGUGGUAUAAAGGGUGUAUAAAGGGUGUACAAAUGAUGUAUAAAAGGUGUACAAAGGGUGUAGCCCCAUUCUACCUCUUUUUAAAAAAUAUGUAGAAAGGCUGUAGAAGGGUGCACAAAUGGUAUAUAAAGGGGUUAGAAAGGAUGUAGAAAGGGUAUAGAAAGACUCUUGAAAAGGUUUACUAAGGGUGUAAGAAGAUGAUGAAAGAUGUAAAAAUCGUGUACAAAGUGUCUAUAAAGUGAGUACAAUGGGGUUAAAAAUGUUGUAUAAAGGUUGUAUAAAGGGUGUAUAAAGGGUGUACAAAGGGUGUAUUAAGGGUGUACAAAGGGUGUAAACCUAUUCUACCUCUUUUUAAAAAAUAUGUAGAAUGACUGCAGGAGGGUGGAAAAAUGGUAUAUAAAGGGGUUAUAAAGGGUGUAGAAAGACUCUUGAAAAGGUUUAGUAAGGGUGUAAAAAGAUGAAGAAAGAUGUAGAAAUCAUGUACAAAGUGUGUAUAAAGUGAGUACAAAGGGUUUACAAAUGUUGUAUAAAGGGUGUAUAAAGGGUGAACCAAGGGUGUAUAAAGGGUGUAGACCCAUUCCCCCUCUUUUUAAAAACUAUGUAGAAUAGCUUCAGAAAGGUGCACAAAUGGUAUAUAAAGGAGUUAG